rnacentral:rRNA from 1 species
UACAGAGGGUGCGAGCGUUGUCCGGAAUCACUGGGCGUAAAGGGUUUGUAGGUGGCCUGCUAAGUCAGACGUGAAAUCCCUCAGCUUAACUGGGGAACUGCGUCUGAUACUGGCGGGCUUGAGGACAGGAGAGGAACGCGGAAUUCCAGGUGUAGCGGUGAAAUGCGUAGAUAUCUGGAGGAACACCGGUGGCGAAGGCGGCGUUCUGGACUGUUUCUGACACUGAAAAACGAAAGCCAGGGGAGCAAACGGG